GAUCACGCUCUCGCGCACGGGACCACAAUGCUCCGCGCCGCUUGUCAUUGGGAGGCGCCGAUGGCGGGGGUCGGCUCGGAAGGAAAAGAACCUUGUACUUCUAAUGGCAUCUGAGAAGAGUAUCUGCUAUUACCAAAUAGUAUCCUUGGAAGAAGAGGAAAGUCGAAUGUAGACCCAUACAGAAGUAAGACCAUGUGAAGACACAGGGAGAAGACACCAGUCUAUGAGCUAAGGAGAGAGGCCUGAGAAGAAACCAAUCCUGCUGUCAGUUCGAUCUUAGACUUCUAGCUUCCAGGACUGUGAGAAAAUAAAUUUCUGUUGUUUAA